CACAUUACACAUACACAACAAACGGACCAAUGAAUAAGGUACUUACGCCUUCUUCUUUCCUCCCUUCUUUCCCUUGGAAAUCCUCUUGUUCUUGCUGCGCAAUGGAACAAUAAAAGAGCAUUAGAAAUUGAAAAAAAUAAAUGAAUCAGAAAUAUGCUGUGAGCGUUAAAGAGAGAUACCCGACGGCCAUGUUGGGAAGGAAAGGUUAGAACUGCUUUGGGGCUAUUGGGGAAGGGGAUGAUGAGGCGAUACUUAAAGAGGAGCUGCGGAUGAGAAACCCUAGUUUCAGCAAGCAGCGCUGUAGUGUCAUGUGCUUGGUUAUAUAUAUCUUGCUAUGACAACAUCUGCCACUUCUUUUGGGUUUAAUUACGAAAACACCUUAGAUCCCCGUUUCCAGUUUUUUU
rnacentral:lncRNA from 1 species